rnacentral:misc_RNA from 1 species
GAUGAAGAACGUAGCGAAAUGCGAUAAGUAAUGUGAAUUGCAGAAUUCAGUGAAUCAUCGAAUCUUUGAACGCACAUUGCGCCCGCUAGUAUUCUGGCGGGCAUGCCUGUCCGAGCGUCAUUUCAACCCUCAAGCCCCCGGGCUUGGUGAUGGGGAUCGGCGAGCCUCCGCGCCCGCCGUCCCCUAAAUCUAGUGGCGGUCUCGCUGUAGCUUCCUCUGCGUAGUAGCACACCUCGCACUGGGAAACAGCGCGGCCACGCCGUUAAACCCCCAACUUCUGAACGUUUGACCUCGGAUCAGGUAGGAAUACCCGCUGAACUUAAGCAUAUCAAUAAGCGGAGGA